GCAGAAAUGACACCUUGCAAGGGGAAGGAAAAGAAGGAAGAACAGGUCAUCAGCCUCGGACCUCAGGUGGCUGAAGGAGAAAAUGUAUUUGGUGUCUGCCACAUCUAUGCAUCCUUCAAUGACACUUUCGUACAUGUCACUGAUGUUUCUGGCAAGGAUACCAUGUGCCGUGUGACUGGUGGGAUGAAGGUGAAGGCUGACCGAGAUGAAUCCUCUCCAUAUGCAGCCAUGUUGGCUGCCCAGGAUGUGGCCCAGAGGUGCGAGGAGCUGGGCAUCACUGCUCUUCACAUCAAACUCCGGGCCACAGGAGGAAAUAGGACCAAGACCCCUGGACCAGGGGCCCAGUCAGCUCUAAGAGCCCUUGCCCGCUCGGGAAUGAAGAUCGGAUGGAUUGAGGAUGUCACUCCCAUCCCCUCCGACAGCACCCGCAGAAAGGGGGGUUGCCAUGGUUGCCGUCAGUGAACAGGACUCCUCAAAUUAUUUUCUGUUAAUAAAUUGCCU